rnacentral:tRNA from 1 species
GGGGUUGUGGCUCAGUGGUAGAGUGCCUGCCUAGCAAGCAUGAGGCACUGGGUUCCAUCCCCACCACCACA